rnacentral:rRNA from 1 species
UACGAAUGGGGCAAGCGUUGUUCGGAAUCACUGGGCUUAAAGCGUAUGUAGGCGGUCAUGCAAGUCAGAAGUGAAAUCCCUGGGCUUAACCCGGGAACUGCUUUUGAAACUGCACGACUAGAAUCCUGGAGAGGUUGGGAGAAUUCCUAGUGUAGAGGUGAAAUUCGCAGAUAUUAGGAGGAAUACCAGUGGCGUAGGCGCCCAACUGGACAGGUAUUGACGCUCAGAUACGAAAGCGUGGGGAGCAAACAGG